CAGCCGCCACGGUAAUACGAAGGGUGCAAGCGUUAAUCGGAAUUACUGGGCGUAAAGCGCGCGUAGGUGGUUUGUUAAGUUGGAUGUGAAAUCCCCGGGCUCAACCUGGGAACUGCAUUCAAAACUGACUGACUAGAGUAUGGUAGAGGGUGGUGGAAUUUCCUGUGUAGCGGUGAAAUGCGUAGAUAUAGGAAGGAACACCAGUGGCGAAGGCGACCACCUGGACUAAUACUGACACUGAGGUGCGAAAGCGUGGGGAGCAAACAGGAUUAGAUACCCCCGUAGUCCCUGUCUCUUAUAC
rnacentral:rRNA from 1 species